rnacentral:rRNA from 1 species
UGGCUUAGAAGCAGCCACCCUUUAAAGAAAGCGUAAUAGCUCACUAGUCGAGUCGGCCUGCGCGGAAGAUGUAACGGGGCUAAAACUAUGUGCCGAAGCUGCGGAUUUGACUUUUAGUCAAGUGGUAGGGGAGCGUUCUGUAAGCCGAUGAAGGUGUAUUGAGAAGUAUGCUGGAGGUAUCAGAAGUGCGAAUGCUGACGUGAGUAACGACAAAACGGGUGAAAAACCCGUUCGCUGAAAGACCAAGGGUUCCAGUCCAACGUUAAUCGGGGCUGGGUGAGUCGACCCCUAAGGCGAGGCCGAGAGGCGUAGUCGAUGGGAAAUUGGUUAAUAUUCCAAUACUUCUGUGUAAUGCGAUGAGAGGACGGAGAAGGUUAAGUCAGCCUGGCGUUGGUUGUCCAGGUGGAAGGCUGUAGGCAUGCAUCUUAGGCAAAUCCGGGGUGCUCUAUGCUGAGAGCUGAUAGCAAGCUGUACUUGUACAGUGAAGUGGCUGAUACCAUGCUUCCAGGAAAAGUCUCUAAGCUUCAGUUACACAGGAAUCGUACCCGAAACCGACACAGGUGGUCAGGUCGAGUAGACCAAAGCGCUUGAGAGAACUCUGCUGAAGGAACUAGGCAAAAUGGUACCGUAACUUCGGGAGAAGGUACGCUGCUGACGGUGAUUUCCCUUGCGGAAUGAGCUAUUGGCAGCCACAGAAACCAGGCCGCUGCAACUGUUUAUUAAAAACAUAGCACUCUGCAAACACGAAAGUGGACGUAUAGGGUGUGAUGCCUGCCCGGUGCUGGAAGGUUAAUUGAUGGGGUUAGCGUAAGCGAAGCUCUUGAUCGAAGCCCCAGUAAACGGCGGCCGUAACUAUAACGGUCCUAAGGUAGCGAAAUUCCUUGUCGGGUAAGUUCCGACCUGCACGAAUGGCAUAAUGAUGGCGGCGCUGUCUCCAGCAGAGACUCAGUGAAAUCGAAUUCGCCGUGAAGAUGCGGUGUACCCGCGGCUAGACGGAAAGACCCCGUGAACCUUUACUGCAGCUUGACAUUGAACUUUGACCUUACUUGUGUAGGAUAGGUGGGAGGCUUUGAAGUUGGAACGCUAGUUCCAAUGGAGCCGUCCUUGAAAUACCACCCUGGUAAUGUUGAGGUUCUAACUCUGCCCCGUAAUCCGGGGCGAGGACCAUGUCUGGUGGGUAGUUUGACUGGGGCGGUCUCCUCCUAAAGAGUAACGGAGGAGUACGAAGGUGCGCUCAGCGUGGUCGGAAAUCACGCGUAGAGUAUAAAGGCAAAAGCGCGCUUAACUGCGAGACCCACAAGUCGAGCAGGUACGAAAGUAGGUCUUAGUGAUCCGGUGGUUCUGUAUGGAAGGGCCAUCGCUCAACGGAUAAAAGGUACU